rnacentral:rRNA from 1 species
GAGUUUGAUCGUGGCUCAGGAUGAACGCUAGCGGCAGGCUUAAUACAUGCAAGUCGAGGGGCAGCAUAGUGUAGCAAUACAUGGGUGGCGACCGGCAAACGGGUGCGGAACACGUACAGAACCUUCCUUCGAGCGGGGAAUAGCCCAGAGAAAUUUGGAUUAAUACCCCAUAGGAUAGUGGAGUGGCAUCACUCAGCUAUUAAAGAUUUAUCACUUGAAGAUGGCUGUGCGUCUGAUUAGGUAGUUGGCGGGGUAACGGCCCACCAAGCCAGCGAUCAGUAACUGGUGUGAGAGCACGACCAGUCACACGGGCACUGAGACACGGGCCCGACUCCUACGGGAGGCAGCAGUAAGGAAUAUUGGUCAAUGGACGCAAGUCUGAACCAGCCAUGCCGCGUGGAGGAUGAAGGUCCUCUGGAUU